AUCCAUAGGUUAAUGAGGCGAACCGGGGGAACUGAAACAUCUAAGUACCCCGAGGAAAAGAAAUCAACCGAGAUUCCCCCAGUAGCGGCGAGCGAACGGGGAGCAGCCCAGAGCCUGAAUCAGUGUGUGUGUUAGUGGAAGCGUCUGGAAAGGCGCGCGAUACAGGGUGACAGCCCCGUACACAAAAAUGCACAUGCUGUGAGCUCGAUGAGUAGGGCGGGACACGUGGUAUCCUGUCUGAAUAUGGGGGGACCAUCCUCCAAGGCUAAAUACUCCUGACUGACCGAUAGUGAACCAGUACCGUGAGGGAAAGGCGAAAAGAACCCCGGCGAGGGGAGUGAAAAAGAACCUGAAACCGUGUACGUACAAGCAGUGGGAGCACAGAGCAAUCUGUGUGACUGCGUACCUUUUGUAUAAUGGGUCAGCGACUUAUAUUCUGUAGCAAGGUUAACCGAAUAGGGGAGCCGAAGGGAAACCGAGUCUUAACUGGGCGUUAAGUUGCAGGGUAUAGACCCGAAACCCGGUGAUCUAGCCAUGGGCAGGUUGAAGGUUGGGUAACACUAACUGGAGGACCGAACCGACUAAUGUUGAAAAAUUAGCGGAUGACUUGUGGCUGGGGGGGAAAGGCCAAUCAAACCGGGAGAUAGCUGGUUCUCCCCGAAAGCUAUUUAGGUAGCGCCUCGUGAAUUCAUCUCCGGGGGUAGAGCACUGUUUCGGCAAGGGGGUCAUCCCGACUUACCAACCCGAUGCAAACUGCGAAUACCGGAGAAUGUUAUCACGGGAGACACACGGUGGGUGCUAACGUCCGUCGUGAAGAGGGAAACAACCCAGACCGCCAGCUAAGGUCCCAAAGUCAUGGUUAAGUGGGAAACGAUGUGGGAAGGCCCAGACAGCCAGGAUGUUGGCUUAGAAGCAGCCAUCAUUUAAAGAAAGCGUAAUAGCUCACUGGUCGAGUCGGCCUGCGCGGAAGAUGUAACGGGGCUAAACCAUGCACCGAAGCUGCGGCAGCGACGCUUAUGCGUUGUUGGGUAGGGGAGCGUUCUGUAAGCCUGCGAAGGUGUGCUGUGAGGCAUGCUGGAGGUAUCAGAAGUGCGAAUGCUGACAUAAGUAACGAUAAAGCGGGUGAAAAGCCCGCUCGCCGGAAGACCAAGGGUUCCUGUCCAACGUUAAUCGGGGCAGGGUGAGUCGACCCCUAAGGCGAGGCCGAAAGGCGUAGUCGAUGGGAAACAGGUUAAUAUUCCUGUACUUGGUGUUACUGCGAAGGGGGGACGGAGAAGGCUAUGUUGGCCGGGCGACGGUUGUCCCGGUUUAAGCGUGUAGGCUGGUUUUCCAGGCAAAUCCGGAAAAUCAAGGCUGAGGCGUGAUGACGAGGCACUACGGUGCUGAAGCAACAAAUGCCCUGCUUCCAGGAAAAGCCUCUAAGCAUCAGGUAACAUCAAAUCGUACCCCAAACCGACACAGGUGGUCAGGUAGAGAAUACCAAGGCGCUUGAGAGAACUCGGGUGAAGGAACUAGGCAAAAUGGUGCCGUAACUUCGGGAGAAGGCACGCUGAUAUGUAGGUGAAGUCCCUCGCGGAUGGAGCUGAAAUCAGUCGAAGAUACCAGCUGGCUGCAACUGUUUAUUAAAAACACAGCACUGUGCAAACACGAAAGUGGACGUAUACGGUGUGACGCCUGCCCGGUGCCGGAAGGUUAAUUGAUGGGGUUAGCGCAAGCGAAGCUCUUGAUCGAAGCCCCGGUAAACGGCGGCCGUAACUAUAACGGUCCUAAGGUAGCGAAAUUCCUUGUCGGGUAAGUUCCGACCUGCACGAAUGGCGUAAUGAUGGCCAGGCUGUCUCCACCCUAGACUCAGUGAAAUUGAACUCGCUGUGAAGAUGCAGUGUACCCGCGGCAAGACGGAAAGACCCCGUGAACCUUUACUAUAGCUUGACACUGAACAUUGAGCCUUGAUGUGUAGGAUAGGUGGGAGGCUUUGAAGUGUGGACGCCAGUCUGCAUGGAGCCGACCUUGAAAUACCACCCUUUAAUGUUUGAUGUUCUAACGUGGACCCGUAAUCCGGGUUGCGGACAGUGUCUGGUGGGUAGUUUGACUGGGGCGGUCUCCUCCUAAAGAGUAACGGAGGAGCACGAAGGUUGGCUAAUCCUGGUCGGACAUCAGGAGGUUAGUGCAAUGGCAUAAGCCAGCUUGACUGCGAGCGUGACGGCGCGAGCAGGUGCGAAAGCAGGUCAUAGUGAUCCGGUGGUUCUGAAUGGAAGGGCCAUCGCUCAACGGAUAAAAGGUACUCCGGGGAUAACAGGCUGAUACCGCCCAAGAGUUCAUAUCGACGGCGGUGUUUGGCACCUCGAUGUCGGCUCAUCACAUCCUGGGGCUGAAGUAGGUCCCAAGGGUAUGGCUGUUCGCCAUUUAAAGUGGUACGCGAGCUGGGUUUAGAACGUCGUGAGACAGUUCGGUCCCUAUCUGCCGUGGGCGCUGGAGAACUGAGGGGGGCUGCUCCUAGUACGAGAGGACCGGAGUGGACGCAUCACUGGUGUUCGGGUUGUCAUGCCAAUGGCACUGCCCGGUAGCUAAAUGCGGAAGAGAUAAGUGCUGAAAGCAUCUAAGCACGAAACUUGCCCCGAGAUGAGUUCUCCCUGACUCCUUGAGAGUCCUGAAGGAACGUUGAAGACGACGACGUUGAUAGGCCGGGUGUGUAAGCGCAGCGAUGCGUUGAGCUAACCGGUACUAAUGAACCGUGAGGCUUAACCUU
rnacentral:rRNA from 1 species